rnacentral:misc_RNA from 1 species
AAGUCGUAACAAGGUUUCCGUAGGUGAACCUGCGGAGCCCUGUGAACUUUAAGUCCCCUCUUGCAGCCCAUGAGGAACAGCAAUCCCGGUAAAUCAUUGCCAAACAGUUUUGAUUCGGGACCUCUGUCCAUGGAAGCAGUGGCAUGGCUUCCCCAAGCAGUUAGUGAAUGACAGUGUCACUGACUGUGUAAGGAUAACGCCUCACGGUUGCUAGAGGUCGAUCACCGACCGGCAGACAUGUCACAGGGUCACCACGCCCCUUAAUCACUCCACUUGAAAAUGCCCCGCCUAGUGGUAACGCGCUAGGUAAAAAAAACCGAACAACUGUUAACAAUGGAUAUCUUGGUUCUC